AAUGAAUUGCCUGAUUAAAAGGAUUACCUUGAUAGGGUAAAUAAUAAAGUUAUUCUUUAUUCAUUA
rnacentral:tRNA from 2 species